rnacentral:rRNA from 1 species
UACGUAGGGUGCAAGCGUUGUCCGGAAUUAUUGGGCGUAAAGAGCUCGUAGGUGGCCUGUCGCGUCGGCUGUGAAACUCGGGGCUACAACGAUCCGAGCUUCGCAGUGAUACGGGCAGGCUAGAGUUCGGCAGGGGAGACUGGAAUUCCUGGUGUAGCGGUGAAAUGCGCAGAUAUCAGGAGGAACACCGGUGGCGAAGGCGGUCUCUGGCCGAUACUGACACUGAGGAGCGAAAGCGUGGGAGCGAACAGG